rnacentral:rRNA from 1 species
GGAAUCUUCGGCAAUGGGCGAAAGCCUGACCGAGCAACGCCGCGUGAAUGAAGAAGGCCUUCGGGUUGUAAAAUUCUGUUAUAAGGGAAGAAAGGUGAUAGGAGGAAAUGACUAUGAAUUGACGGUACCUGAUGAGAAAGCCACGGCUCACUACGUGCCAGAAGCUGCGGUAAUACGUAGGUGGCAAGCGUUAUCCGGAAUUAUUGGGCGUAAAGAGCGCGCAGGUGGUUAAUUAAGUCUGAUGUGAAAGCCCACGGCUUAACCGUGGAGGGUCAUUGGAAACUGGUUGACUUGAGUGCAGAAGAGGGAAGUGGAAUUCCAUGUGUAGCGGUGAAAUGCGUAGAGAUAUGGAGGAACACCAGUGGCGAAGGCGGAUUCCUGGUCUGCAACUGACACUGAGGCGCGAAAGCGUGGGGAGCAAACA